AGUGAACGCUGGCGGUAGGCCUAACACAUGCAAGUCGAACGGCAGCACAGGAGAGCUUGCUCUCUGGGUGGCGAGUGGCGGACGGGUGAGGAAUACAUCGGAAUCUACUUUUUCGUGGGGGAUAACGUAGGGAAACUUACGCUAAUACCGCAUACGACCUACGGGUGAAAGCAGGGGAUCUUCGGACCUUGCGCGAUUGAAUGAGCCGAUGUCGGAUUAGCUAGUUGGCGGGGUAAAGGCCCACCAAGGCGACGAUCCGUAGCUGGUCUGAGAGGAUGAUCAGCCACACUGGAACUGAGACACGGUCCAGACUCCUACGGGAGGCAGCAGUGGGGAAUAGUGGACAAUGGGCGCAAGCCUGAUCCAGCCAUACCGCGUGGGUGAAGAAGGCCUUCGGGUUGUAAAGCCCUUUUGUUGGGAAAGAAAUCCAGCUGGUUAAUACCCGGUUGAGAUGACGGUACCCAAAGAAUAAGCACCGGCUAACUUCGUGCCAGCCGCCGCAGUAA
rnacentral:rRNA from 1 species